UACGGGGGGGCAAGCGUUGUUCGGAAUUACUGGGCGUAAAGGGCUCGUAGGCGGCCAACUAAGUCAUACGUGAAAUCCCUCGGCUUAACCGGGGAACUGCGUCUGAUACUGGAUGGCUUGAGUUCGGGAGAGGGAUGCGGAAUUCCAGGUGUAGCGGUGAAAUGCGUAGAUAUCAGGAGGAACACCGGUGGCGAAGGCGGGUCUCUGGGCCGUAACUGACGCUGAGGAGCGAAAGCAUGGGGAGCGAACAGG
rnacentral:rRNA from 1 species